rnacentral:rRNA from 1 species
GCAUAUCAAUAAGCGGAGGAAAAGAAACCAACAGGGAUUGCCCCAGUAACGGCGAGUGAAGCGGCAACAGCUCAAAUUUGAAAUCUGGCCCCUCGGGGUCCGAGUUGUAAUUUGUAGAGGAUGCUUUUGGUGAGGUGCCGCCCGAGUUCCCUGGAACGGGACGCCACAGAGGGUGAGAGCCCCGUCUGGCUGGCCACCGAGCCUCUGUAAAGCUCCUUCGACGAGUCGAGUAGUUUGGGAAUGCUGCUCAAAAUGGGAGGUAUAUGUCUUCUAAAGCUAAAUAUUGGCCAGAGACCGAUAGCGCACAAGUAGAGUGAUCGAAAGAUGAAAAGCACCUUGAAAAGAGGGUUAAAUAGUACGUGAAAUUGUUGAAAGGGAAGCGCUUGUGACCAGACUUGGGCGCGGCGGAUCAUCCGGGGUUCUCUCCGGUGCACUUCGACGCGUCCAGGCCAGCAUCAGUUCGUCGCGGGGGAAAAAGGCUUCGGGAACGUGGCUCCUCCGGGAGUGUUAUAGCCCGUUGCAUAAUACCCUGCGGUGGACUGAGGACCGCGCAUCUGCAAGGAUGCUGGCGUAAUGGUCACCAGCGACCCGUCUUGAAACACGGACCAAGGAGUCGUCUUCGUAUGCGAGUGUUCGGGUGUCAAACCCCUACGCGUAAUGAAAGUGAACGCAGGUGAGAGCUUCGGCGCAUCAUCGACCGAUCCUGAUGUUCUCGGAUGGAUUUGAGUAAGAGCAUACGGGGCCGGACCCGAAAGAAGGUGAACUAUGCCUGUAUAGGGUGAAGCCAGAGGAAACUCUGGUGGAGGCUCGCAGCGGUUCUGACGUGCAAAUCGAUCGUCAAAUAUGGGCAUGGGGGCGAAAGACUAAUCGAACCUUCUAGUAGCUGGUUUCCGCCGA